rnacentral:rRNA from 1 species
GCUCAGAAACUCAAAUGAAUUGACGGGGGCCCGCACAAGCGGUGGAGCAUGUGGUUUAAUUCGAUGAUACGCGAGGAACCUUACCUGGGCUCAAAUGUAUGUUGACGUAUCUGAAAGGGAUACUUCUUCGGACAAUAUACAAGGUGCUGCAUGGUUGUCGUCAGCUCGUGUCGUGAGAUGUUGGGUUAAGUCCCGCAACGAGCGCAACCCUUGUGUUUAGUUGCAAACAGGUCAAGCUGUGCACUCUAGACAGACUGCCGUGGACAACACGGAGGAAGGUGGGGAUGACGUCAAAUCAUCAUGCCCCUUAUGAUCUGGGCUACACACGUGCUACAAUGGCCGGUACAACGGGCAGCGAAGGAGCGAUCCGGAGCGAAUCCUAAAAAGCCGGUCCCAGUUCGGAUUGCAGGCUGAAACUCGCCUACAUGAAGUUGGAGUUGCUAGUAAUCGCGAAUCAGAAUGUCGCGGUGAAUGCGUUCCCGGGUCUU